GUCCAUCCAUACAUAAGCUCAUACAUUCGCUCAGCCUGUUAGCCACUCGAUCAGAAUUAAACAAGCUUCUUCUGAACAGAGAGAUUCUUAAAGCACACGUUGUAAGGAAAUCAAUGCCAUCAUUGUCAGAAGAAAGAAUUUUCACAUCUGAUAAUGCUUGACCAACAAACAUUUGUGGCCUUAUUAAUGGUUGGCAUUGUAAUAACAGAAUAUAAAUUUCAUUCACGAUAUCUCGAUACUGUACAAGAGGGAAAUAAUAUAUGUCGUAUAUAAAAUUCUACUGUCAGUGAAUUUGAAAAUCACGAACCUCAACAAACACUAUAGCUCUUGUAUCGCUUUGUUUUUCCUGACUAUCUUUAAAAUGACACAAAAGUAGUUCUUUUAACUUAUCAAACUUGGUAUGGCCAAAUGUAAGAUUUUGUGAUAUCUGAAAUUAAUUUUUAAGUUAUACACAAAAAGAUUUCAAGUUUCUUGUACUUUAUGUAAGUUUAUACAAACUUCUAUUACAGCCUCUUCAGAUAAAAUGUUUAUAUCUGGGAAUGGACCAAGAUAAGUAUUAAUAUCUUCAAGUAACAUCUGCAAUUGUGGUUCUUCAUUCAUCCAAAAUUUAUCAGAAUGAUCUAUCAAAAUAAUGUACAGAUUAUUCAAAUAUAAAUUAUAUAAAUAAAGUGACAGAAAAAAGUGAAAAUUCCAUACUUUGAUAAAAUUUAUAAAAAGCCCUAAGGCCAUCUCUAAUCAUAAGUUCAUAAGCAUGGUACAUUGUUAUUAAUAUAUUUAAUGUCUUUAUAAUUUGUCCAUCAUUUCCCGAUUUAUUCGUUUUCUUUUGAUAUUCCUUUAAUAAAUGAAAUAUCUGAAACAG